UGCAGUGGGAGGGGCAGCAUUCCUGGGGGCCUCUCUCCCACCAGCGCCAGUGGGGGACGCGGCUGCUGUGAGGACCAUGUGGCACUGCACCCCGGUGUCCCUGCCACGGGCCAUCUCCUCGCCUGCUGGCCCUAAGGCCUGGAGGGCCUGUCGCCUCAGCCUGCCUGCACCCUAUCUGCCUCCUGUCCCCUCUCCUGCCGCCCACCUGAUGCACCCCUGUGGGCCCAGCUGCAGCUGAUUGACGUCCAGGGAGACGGAGGUCAGGGCGAGUCCCAGUGCUGCAGCCCCAACUGGAAUCAAGCAGGGACGUGGAGUCAAGCUGCAGUCUAAGGGUGCACUGUGACAAACCUCCAUGGCAGAAGCCUAGGGUGCAGGAAGAGGUCGGGCUCAAAAUCCAGGUCAGGUUGCAAACUGUUGCCCCUCUGAACUCAGCCUCGAGGUGCUCUAGGCCAGACUCAGAGUUUGAAACAGAGUGUGAGAGCAGGUCUCUAACCUAGACUUUGGAAACCCACCAUCCAUUGUGUGUGUGGGUGCCUCGGGAUCAGGACGCUGAGCAUGUGAGGCACACACCUGGAUCUAAAGAUCCCUGAGCACGAAGGAUCAGAGCAGAGUCUGAAGAUCUCCAUGCACCCAGGAUCACACCCAGGUCGGAAGAUCCCCACACUCACAGACAAGAUCACACCCAGGACAUGAAAUGCUAAAUAAAUCCCUAAGUAAAUCGUGAUCAGUACAGUGAUGAGCCCCUGCAGAACCACCAUGGCACCGGGCGAACAGCCACAGUUCCUUGGGGUCCCACAGACCUGGGUUUGAGUCUCAGCUGUGCUACCUGUUGGCCGUGCAAUCCGGGACCAGGAGCUAACGACACGGAACCUUGAUUUUCCUCUUCUGUGAAACAGGAGCAGUAAACCGUGUGCUUUGCAGCUGCUUGUUGGGAUUAACGGAGCUAAUUUGUGUCAGCGCUUAGCACAGGGUCCUCGGCGAAUGGCGGCUAUGGCAGUGUCAUCCUUACCACCUGCGAGGCCGCAGGUGCCCCAGGCUGGGAGGUGACACUGCCCACCUGCUCCAGGCGCUUCUGGAGCACUUGACUUCCUGCCCCCGG